UUAGUUCCUGUACCCCUCAUGUUUGGUGGAUGGUUGUAUGUAACCUGAAUGUAUUGAAUGAAAUACAAAUUUUGAAGCAAUUGUAUUGAAUUGUAAAAAUUAUCUAGUCAUUUGUACAAGUAUUUGAUGCAUAAAGUACUCUACAGUCCCUCAAUUGAAAAUUCCUGUGAAAUCAUACUGAUAUUCAUGUUUCCCUCAUCUUCAAUCUAUUUUCAGAAAACCUAAUUUCGCCCUCAGUGACCGGACUUCAGGUACGGAUCUACCUUCAGUGAGUUCGUCGCCACCUACUAACCUUCAACUAAUCUCCGAUCGACGCCUACUAAUCGUUCAAUUGAUUUCAAUUUGUGCUUACAGAUCUCGCCAUCCAUCUCCUGGCCGUUUGUAUGCUAGCUAUUAUGUUUCUCAUUGUGAGGCACUGAGGCCUUAUUAAAGUUUUCUCUGCUGUGAGACUUGGUUAAAAUUUUGAUGGAUGUGUGUUAUACUAGUUUAAUUUGUGUUGUUAUACUUCAAUUUCUGUUUCUUAUUGUUAGGCCUGAUAAAUUUUUUGAUUUGUAUGCAUACAAGAUGUAUACAUAUUGUUGGUGAUGCUCUGCUAUGGUGUUAACCCCAGUCCCGGUGGACCAUUUCUGUAAAAAACGGUCCCUUUGUAGAAUUGAUUUUUUACAGAAAUAGUCCCUGGUAAAUUUACAAAAUAGGUCCCAAUAUAGCGAAAAAAAUUACAGAAUUGUCCCUGUGUAAGAAAAAGUUGCAGAAAUGGUUCCUAUAAGACACAAUAGGUUCUUUUGCAGAAUUGUUUUUACAGAAAUGGUCACCUGGAAAUUUACAGAAUACGUCCCUGUGCAGAAAAAUAAAUUACAAAAAUGUCACUGUUUAAUAGAAAGUGGCAAAAAAUGGUCCAUGUAAGUCACAAGAUGAGCUUUUACAGAAAUGGUGCCCGGGAAAUUUACAAAUAGGUCCCUGUGCAGGAAAAUAAAUUACAAAAAUGUCCUAAUUAAUCAGCUAACCAUUUGUCCUUCAAUCUUUGAUCUGUAGUUUUUGCUAUGUUUAUGUUUUAUAUUGGUUUACUGUGUUACUGCUGCUGUGUGUCUGUGUUAAAGGAGUGAUAUGAGUUUAUUGUGUUACUGGUGUUAUACUAAACAUUUGAGUUGCACUUAUUUAUUUAGUUGCUUUUAAGUUACACUUGUUUGCUUGCUAUUGUUUAGGUGCUCCCCAAAAGGCCAGAGGUUAUAGCCAAAAAGCCGAAACUUGCUAUUAUUGUUAAUGACAUUCUCAGUGUGAAAGAGAUUAAGCGAAUACCAUAUCUGUUGUCUAAGGGAUCAAAAAAUUGGCUGAUUUGGAGGUGGGUAUAUUAUGAAAUCAUAUACUUUUUUCAUUGUAAAACAAAUCGGUUGAUAUUUUAUUAUUGUGCAUUUUUUUAUAGGCAUUGCCAAAAGGGAAGUGGUUUUGCUUCCCAGAUUGUAAGAGAAUUCAUUAAUGUUUUGCAAAAUUUGCUAACUCAAAAUCCGGAGAUUGUUGAUGAUGACCUGUUGACUUUUAUGAGGGAGAAGCAAAAGGAUAAGGAGGAGAAGGGGGACAAGGACAAAAAUGUAAUUUCAAAAAUGAAAUUUGAUCUUUUAAGUGAGAAGAAUGCUACCCAUGAAACCACACCCAUGCUUACACAAACAAUUGAGGUGCUGUUUGUAACCAUAAGGUCCAUUUAUAAAGUUGGAGACUAAAGCCCAGAUUCUGCAAAACCAUAUGGACCAUUUAUGGAGAUUUGUCUUUUUUGCAAAAUGAGGCCCUUUAAAUUUUAAAACGAAAAAUUAUAAUCAAAUAACUACAAUUAAUAGUUCAUUUAUUUCAGUAGCUUUUACCAACAUACAAAUGUGAUCCGAAAUGAAUUUUUUUAUAGAUACAAUAUACAAGACCUUCCAUAUGGUUUAUGAUAUCCGGAAAUAAGACAUUCCCAUAUGCUUUCAUAUAACUGUGAUAAAUUGAUAAGUAUUUUUAUCACACCAUACAAAGCUUUUUUUAACGGCAAAAGUAAAUAAAUAAAACCAAAAAAACCAACAAGAAGCAACAAGUUGGAGUACAUACUACAUAGUACAAACAAACUAAAUCAGCCAAAAUAAAGGCCAAAAUAAAAUAAAAUAACAACAGCCAAAGAAAAACCAACCAAACAUGGGCAAAAGUGUCAAAAUGAUUUUUUUGGGAAACAACCCAACACGACAUGAUGGAGAACCAGAAUAUGUGAGCAGCAUCAAUCUUAUCAUUGGGGCAAAUCUUUCCAACGUAAAUUAAGCGCAAAAUGGACUUUUUUUUUUGGUAAAAACAUGUAUAGUUGGGCAAAAUGGAUUUGUUUUGGUAAAAACAUGUAUAGUUGUCCAUGACUCCAUGUAAUUACAUA
rnacentral:lncRNA from 1 species